rnacentral:rRNA from 1 species
UUGAACGCUGGCGGCAUGCUUUACACAUGCAAGUCGAACGGCAGCGGGGGCUUCGGCCCGCCGGCGAGUGGCGAACGGGUGAGUAAUGCAUCGGAACGUACCCAGUCGUGGGGGAUAACUACGCGAAAGCGUAGCUAAUACCGCAUACGACCUGAGGGUGAAAGGGGGGGAUCGCAAGACCUCUCGCCGUUGGAGCGGCCGAUAUCGGAUUAGCUAGUUGGUGAGGUAAAGGCUCACCAAGGCGACGAUCCGUAGCUGGUCUGAGAGGACGACCAGCCACACUGGAACUGAGACACGGUCCAGACUCCUACGGGAGGCAGCAGUGGGGAAUUUUGGACAAUGGGCGGAAGCCUGAUCCAGCCAUUCCGCGUGAGUGAAGAAGGCCUUCGGGUUGUAAAGCUCUUUCGGCAGGAACGAAACGGUCUUUUCUAAUACAAGAGGCUAAUGACGGUACCUGAAGAAGAAGCACCGGCUAACUACGU